AUUUCAAUAAUAUAUUUAUAAAGACAUGGUAAGUUACGUGUGUAUACAUGUAUCAGUACCUUACUGUGUUGUGGCCAUUAAAGUUGUCAGGGAGCAGAAAUAACUGAUGAAAAUUUCAAAUAUUAAAUGGGACAGCAAAACUAGCUAUUAAUAAUUCCUUACAAGAAAUCAGUCGAGAGCAACAUAAUGAGGCCCAGCAUUUUGAAACCUCUUUGCAAACUGAGACUGACACGUCAGAUUUUUUGAUACCAACAUACACAAAUAAGUAUGUGGGAGAUGACAGCAUUUUUGAAGUGGGAAGAGGAUUUCAUAAGAAAUAACUACCCAAAAUUCGACAGAAAAAUGAGUGACAAGGAUUGCCUGUUUGGGCGAGCAUUUAUCAGAAAAACUGUGAAAGAAAUGGAAUUAACAAAAAGGCAAUUACACAAUGAAGAGUGCAUCAGUGAAUUUGUC